rnacentral:rRNA from 1 species
UUCCUUGUUCUUUCCGCCUAUAUACCGCCGUCGUCAGUUUACCCUGUGAAGGUAAAACAGUAAGCACAAUCGGCACAGCCCAAAACGCCAGGUCGAGGUGUAGCGUAUGGAAGGGGAAGAAAUGGGCUACAUUCCUUAAUACUAAGGCAUACGAAUGAUAUGUUGAAACACAUAACUGAAGGAGGAUUUAGCAGUAAGCAGGAAGUAGAGUGUCCCGCUGAAAUCGGCUCUGAAGCGCGUACACACCGCCCGUCACUCUCCCCGAACUAAAGUUUAUUAUUUAACUAAAACCCUAUACCUGUAAAGGGGAGGCAAGUCGUAACAUGGUAAGUGUACCGGAAGGUGCACUUGGAAUAAAAAUAC